rnacentral:lncRNA from 1 species
UGAAAACAGAUUGAAAGUAAUGCAUUGUCUGAUGAUAAGUGAUGAUAGUAAUGCUUAGCCUAAGUUAUAAAUGAAUGUGUGAUGAAUUGUAUUGUUGCAUUCAUGAAUUAAAACUGAUUAGGGUUAGUGCAUACUGUCAAAUGGCUGUCUUACAUUGAAGCAUUAGAUUCAUGUCUAAAUGCUGAGUAAAGAAGCUUUAAAAAUUGCCUAAGUAGCUUGUAUUGAAUCUGCUAGGAUCAUGCUAGUGCUUAGAG